rnacentral:hammerhead_ribozyme from 1 species
CAGCGAAACGCCGUUAUUCACGGCGUCUGCCUAGCGUGGUGGCUAGGCACUGACGAGCAGCCAGGG